GUUUCAUUGCAGUCCAAGGAGAGGCAUGUAAAUCCUGCCCCCUUUGAGCAAGCAAAAGUCUCCGGAGAAAACAAAUCUGCCGAGGUUCAUGGCCCUCUUGGCGGUGCGUGGAGGGUCAGGAAAGAGAAGGAGGAAGAGUGCACUCCUGCAAGAUCAAAGACUUGUUUCUAUUGUGGAAUCUGUACAAUGGAGAACUGCUAAAAUACCUCCUCUGCUGCCCUAGACCCCUCCUGGUCCCCUAGAAGGAAACUGACAAUAUAUCUGUGAGAGAACUGAAGGGAUUUUAAUAGAAGUACACUCUUACAAAUCAGGUCAUAAGUUCAUAAGACCUGAUUAUAGAGUUCCAUCAGGAGAUGAAAUUUUAACAGUGUCCCUUAUACCUCUAUUAUAAGUUUGUUUUCAAGUGAAACCCACUUUUUUGGUCACUUGGUGGCAGCAGAACAAACUUAUAAAAAAAGCUGUUGUCACGGCAAUGUUUCUGUCAACCAACAAGAAAAAAAGGAGUGAAACCCAAAUGCAGUCGAUCUUAUCUGUUUUUAAAUCUUCAGCAACCACAAAUGUUAUGUCAGCCUUUAUGGUUUUUAGUUGGAUUUGCUUGGAUGUACUCAGCAGGUAGCAUUUCUGCAGGUUUGUGGAGCAAACAGCUGCUUACUGCAGGUGGAAAAACUGUUUCAAGAGCAGUUCCGGUUAACCAACGCAGGUUAAAAAUGGAAAACGUUCACUUAUUCUUACAUGAUAUCAAAACUGCCAUCUGAUCUGCACAGGUAUUUUUUGUGGUGACAUUGCAGCAUACAGAAUAAUUGUAUAAAGCAAUGAAUGUGUAGCCAUAUAAUGUACCGAUGCAAAAUUUCUAUAUUUCUUCUGUUUUUCUAAAUCCAGUACAUAACGACAGUGUCGUGUUAAAGUAUUCACAUCCCUUGAACAUGUUGUCACUUUAAAAUCACAAACUUGAAUGAAUUUCAUUGGGAUUUCAUGUGAAACAAAGUAGUGCAUGAUUAGGAAGAGGACGUAAAGUAAGACAUGGUUAUCUAAAACGAUUUAAAAAUAAAAUCUGAAAAGUG